CAAUUGGCCUUUAAUUGGGGUCGGGCAUGAAAGGAUAAAUCGAAGUAUUACUGUCUCAAUAAAAUAUAUACUAAUGAAAUUACUUAUUGGGUGAAAAUUCCUAAACAAUAGAUAAUAGACGAGAAGACCCUUAGACUUUCUCCUAAUUAUAUUAGAUUUAUAUAAAGGCUUUGUUGGGGCGACAAAAUGUCAACAUAUAAUUAACACAUUCAUUAAGUUUUUCGUAAUUUAACAAGUUUUAUUUCUGAUAAUAGAAGUACCUAAGGGAUAACAGCAUUAUUAAAUUAUUACAUUG
rnacentral:rRNA from 1 species